rnacentral:sRNA from 1 species
AUUUCUCAAAAGUAUUAUAAUCAAUUGCUUUUAUAGUGGUAUUUCUUGAGUUUUAUGGAUGAGUAUGCUAAAGUAAAGCUAGCAAUUCAAAAAAUAGAGGUUGCUAGUAUUAUAGGAGGUAGUACAAUAAUGACUACAGGUAAAGUUAAAUGGUUUAAAGCUGAUAAAGGUUAUGGAUUUAUCACUGUUGAAGGACAGGGCAAAGAUAUUUUUGUUCACUGGUCAGCAAUCAAUUCUGAUGGCUUCAAGACAUUAGAAGAAGGUCAGACUGUCAAAUUCGAUAUCGUAGAAGGCGACAGAGGACCUCAGGCUUCUAACGUAACAGUUGUUGAAUAGGAAUAAAAGGA